CCUACGGGUGGCUGCAGUGGGGAAUAUUGGACAAUGGGGGGAACCCUGAUCCAGCAAUGCCGCGUGUGUGAAGAAGGCCUGAGGGUUGUAAAGCACUUUCAGUAGGGAGGAGUGUAUUUUGGUUAAGAGCUGGGAUAUUGGACGUUACCUACAGAAGAAGCACCGGCUAACUCCGUGCCAGCAGCCGCGGUAAUACGGAGGGUGCAAGCGUUAAUCGGAAUUACUGGGCGUAAAGAGUGCGUAGGUGGUUGUGUCAGUUAUCUGUGAAAUCCCUG
rnacentral:rRNA from 1 species